UCUCAAAUUCAGGAAUUUUUAUUGAUUUCGGGUAUUUUUACUCAAAUUCAAGUACUUUUACUAAAAUUCAGGUACCUUUACUCAAAUUUAGGUACUUUUACUUAUAUUCAGGUACUUUUACUUAAAUUCAGGUACUUCUACUCAAUUGCAGGUAUUCUUACUUAAUUUCAGGUACUUAUACUCAAGUGCAGGUACUUUUACUCAAGUGUAGGUACUUUUGCUCAUAUUUAGGUACAUUUAUUAGAUUUAGGUACUUUCUCUCAACUUUUGGUACUCAAAUUAAAUAACUUUUACUCAAAUUCAGGUACAUUCACUUAACUUUAGGUACAUUUUCCAGAAAGAAGCAACUGUAUUUUAAAAGCAAAGAAAUGUACGAAUUUUUUCUCAAAAACUAAUUAUUACUUAUCCCUUCUUUCAAAAGGAUUAGAAUAAAAUAAAAUUUCAUCGAAAUAGAGAUGUUCAUUUAAAAACUGCGCAUUUGUGGGUUUUUUGUCCCACCCGACUCUAAAUUGCAUGAUCGGAGCCGGUAAAUUAUGAACUGUACAUGCAUUCAGUCGUACAGUCCAGUCUGGACCACCCAGUGUAGUCGACCCAGCACGUUUCAUGCAUCGUUUUAUUCAUCAUUUGUUUUUUUAGGAUAAUAAUUGAUCUGAGACGAGUUACUGUACAGAGGUUUGGAUGUCAGCAGAAUUUGAAGAAGGAGAAGAAUUUGUAUUUUGUUCUUCUCAGCGUUGUGAGCUCUUUUAUUGUGCUUCACACCCCUCGACUUAUCAUAGACAUGUAUGAGAUGAUUAACUAUGGAAAGAUAAAGGACUGUGGGUACCACUCCUUUAUUUUCCCAGUCUGGUUUGAUACCCUGCUCCCAG